rnacentral:rRNA from 1 species
UACAGAGGUCCCAAGCGUUGUUCGGAUUCACUGGGCGUAAAGGGUGCGUAGGCGGUCGGGUAAGUCUGACGUGAAAUCUCCAAGCUCAACUUGGAAAUGGCGUCGGAUACUAUUCGGCUCGAGGAGUGGAGGGGAGACUGGAAUUCCCGGUGUAGUGGUGAAAUGCGUAGAUAUCGGGAGGAACACCAGUGGCGAAGGCAGCUCUCUGGGACGGUACUGACGCUGAGACGCGAAAGCGUGGGGAGCGAACAGG